GCAUGCAGCCACACUGGAGUGCGAGUGUCCAAUAGCAUCUGAUUUCAGAAGCUAAGCAGGGUCGUGCCUGGUUAGUACUUAGAUGGGAAACCACCUUGGAAGACCAGGGGCUGCUAUCC
rnacentral:rRNA from 12 species